GACGAACGCUGGCGGCGUGCUUAACACAUGCAAGUCGAACGGAAAGGCCCUGCUUGCAGGGUACUCGAGUGGCGAACGGGUGAGUAACACGUGGGUGAUCUGCCCUGCACUUCGGGAUAAGCCUGGGAAACUGGGUCUAAUACCGGAUAGGAGCCAUUUUUAGUGUGAUGGUUGGAAAGUUUUUUCGGUGUAGGAUGAGCUCGCGGCCUAUCAGCUUGUUGGUGGGGUAAUGGCCUACCAAGGCGGCGACGGGUAGCCGGCCUGAGAGGGUGGACGGCCACCUUGGGACUGAGAUACGGCCCAGACUCCUACGGGAGGCAGCAGUGGGGAAUAUUGCACAAUGGGCGCAAGCCUGAUGCAGAGACGCCGCGUGGGGGAUGACGGCCUUCGGGUUGUAAACUCCUUUCGCUAGGGACGAAGCUUUUUGUGACGGUACCUAGAUAAGAAGCACCGGCUAACUACGUG
rnacentral:rRNA from 1 species